rnacentral:rRNA from 1 species
AUUGAACGCUGGCGGCAGGCCUAACACAUGCAAGUCGAGCGGUUGACGGGAGCUUGCUCCCUGAUUCAGCGGCGGACGGGUGAGUAAUGCCUAGGAAUCUGCCUAUUAGUGGGGGACGACGUUUCGGAAGGAACGCUAAUACCGCAUACGUCCUACGGGAGAAAGCAGGGGACCUUCGGGCCUUGCGCUAAUAGAUGAGCCUAGGUCGGAUUAGCUAGUUGGUGAGGUAAUGGCUCACCAAGGCGACGAUCCGUAACUGGUCUGAGAGGAUGAUCAGUCACACUGGAACUGAGACACGGUCCAGACUCCUACGGGAGGCAGCAGUGGGGAAUAUUGGACAAUGGGCGAAAGCCUGAUCCAGCCAUGCCGCGUGUGUGAAGAAGGUCUUCGGAUUGUAAAGCACUUUAAGUUGGGAGGAAGGGUUGUAGAUUAAUACCCUGCAAUUUUGACGUUACCGACAGAAUAAGCACCGGCUAACUCUGUGCCAGCCGCCGCGGUAAAAC